rnacentral:lncRNA from 1 species
GGGAUGUAGGAAGAAGAAGGCGCUGCCAUCUGCGGAUCAAAAGGUGGUGGCAUCUGAGCAGCAUCUAGUGAUGACAUUUGUGGAAUAUGCGGUGAUGGCAUAUGUGGAACAUAUGAUGACGGCAUAUAUCUCAUAUCUGGCGCAUUGGUUGCUCCAUGCCAAGGUGCAUAGCUAAAUGGAUCAACACCAAUCGCCAUCAAUGUUCUGAAACUUGUUCUCUCUAUCUCACGCAGUAUCCGAAUCCAUUCGUCCUCAU